UUAUGAGAGUUUGAUCCUGGCUCAGGACGAACGCUGGCGGCGUGCCUAAUACAUGCAAGUCGAACGCUUUUUCUUUCACCGGAGCUUGCUCCACCGAAAGAAAAAGAGUGGCGAACGGGUGAGUAACACGUGGGUAACCUGCCCAUCAGAAGGGGAUAACACUUGGAAACAGGUGCUAAUACCGUAUAACACUAUUUUCCGCAUGGAAGAAAGUUGAAAGGCGCUUUUGCGUCACUGAUGGAUGGACCCGCGGUGCAUUAGCUAGUUGGUGAGGUAACGGCUCACCAAGGCAACGAUGCAUAGCCGACCUGAGAGGGUGAUCGGCCACACUGGGACUGAGACACGGCCCAGACUCCUACGGGAGGCAGCAGUAGGGAAUCUUCGGCAAUGGACGAAAGUCUGACCGAGCAACGCCGCGUGAGUGAAGAAGGUUUUCGGAUCGUAAAACUCUGUUGUUAGAGAAGAACAAGGACGUUAGUAACUGAACGUCCCCUGACGGUAUCUAACCAGAAAGCCACGGCUAACUACGUGCCAGCAGCCGCGGUAAUACGUAGGUGGCAAGCGUUGUCCGGAUUUAUUGGGCGUAAAGCGAGCGCAGGCGGUUUCUUAAGUCUGAUGUGAAAGCCCCCGGCUCAACCGGGGAGGGUCAUUGGAAACUGGGAGACUUGAGUGCAGAAGAGGAGAGUGGAAUUCCAUGUGUAGCGGUGAAAUGCGUAGAUAUAUGGAGGAACACCAGUGGCGAAGGCGGCUCUCUGGUCUGUAACUGACGCUGAGGCUCGAAAG
rnacentral:rRNA from 1 species